rnacentral:lncRNA from 1 species
UACAAUCACUAGAAUUCCUUCUAAUCUUCAAGUGAAAGCAUUAACUUGGAUUUACAAAUAAUUACACAAAGUGAUCUUCCCAAGUGUAGAACAAUAUAGUUUAAAGAUGAUUACAAUCGAUAAACUCUAGAGUGAUCUCUCUCAAUUUUAUCUUACAAAUCAAGCUCAAAUCAAUGAUCAAGGUGUAUUUGAAUUGAAUAUAAGAGUUGAGAGAAUUUAAUUCACUUCAAUGCUUUCUCAAAACCCCCAAGGGUUGUUUUAAAAGGCCCAAUUUGAAAUAGAUUCGUUUCGACAUUAAAUGCUCUGAACUAGCUAUUUAAUUUAAACGCAAUUGUUAGAUUUUUGAUCUGGACGCUCAAGAUUAAAAAUUCAAAAUUCAAUCUAUUGGACCAAAAAGCAACCUAAGAGGAGGGGGUGAAUUGGGUUUUUCAAAUCCAAUUGCAAAUAAUAUCAAUUAAAACUUAAUACAAUAAAUAAAAUAAUAAUUUAAUUUAUAUGCAAAGCAAUAUAAACAAGAAUAAGGAAAAAUCAAAGAACAAGAGAGAAUACAAAGAUUUACCGAGAUUCAAUCACAACGUGUGGUCUACAUCUUUCCAAGACCUCCGCAAAGUUUUCUUCCACUAUUGCAAUGAGCAAUUACAAAGUAGGGGCUGAUUUUCAAGUGCUCAGCUCACUUUUACUACAAGUAGUUUUGUUCAAGUUCAACUUAAAUUUAUAAGUAAUUUUGUCCAAGUUCCACUCAAACUUUCAAGUAUUUUUUUUACAUAAGAGGACACUCAAACUCUCACGAGUGUUUGGUUUUUACAAGAGAAACACCCAAAACUCUCAACAAGUGUUUUUGUCCAAGCUACACUCAAACUUGUAAUUGGACUGCAUAAUUGUAGUCCAAGCGCUAUUAAACCGACCUAAAUUGGCCCUGGAAUAGGUUAAUUAUGUUUUUUUAUCAUGUUUCGUACUAAAAGUCAUGUUCGAAUUUAUUGCAGAUAAAUGAUGACAAAAAGGAGGAUUUACAUCCAUAAAAGUGAGACGGAGUAUGUGCACGCAUGUCAAAAAUUGUAGUUCAGAAUAGAAUAAAAGAUGCGCUGUAGGAAAGGUCUCAUGAAAUUAUACAAGUUCACGUCUAAAGAGUAUUGUGAGAUAUAGAUUCCAAGAGUUUCAAAAUAGACUAAGAAAAGGAGAAAAAAAGGUCAAAAAGGCAAAAA